rnacentral:rRNA from 1 species
AGCGGCGGAUAGGUGAGUAACACGUGGGGAACCUGCCCCUAAGUCUGGGAUACCAUUUGGAAACAGGUGCUAAUACCGGAUAAUAAAGCAGAUCGCAUGAUCAGCUUUUGAAAGGCGGCGUAAGCUGUCGCUAAGGGAUGGCCCCGCGGUGCAUUAGCUAGUUGGUAAGGUAACGGCUUACCAAGGCGACGAUGCAUAGCCGAGUUGAGAGACUGAUCGGCCACAUUGGGACUGAGAUACGGCCCAAACUCCUACGGGAGGCAGCAGUAGGGAAUCUUCCACAAUGGACGCAAGUCUGAUGGAGCAACGCCGCGUGAGUGAAGAAGGUUUUCGGAUCGUAAAGCUCUGUUGUUGGUGAAGAAGGAUAGAGGUAGUAACUGGCCUUUAUUUGACGGUAAUCAACCAGAAAGUCACGGCUAACUACGUGCCAGCAGCCGCGGUAAUACGUAGGUGGCAAGCGUUGUCCGGAUUUAUUGGGCGUAAAGCGAGCGCAGGCGGAAAAAUAAGUCUAAUGUGAAAGCCCUCGGCUUAACCGAGGAACUGCAUCGGAAACUGUUUUUCUUGAGUGCAGAAGAGGAGAGUGGAACUCCAUGUGUAGCGGUGGAAUGCGUAGAUAUAUGGAAGAACACCAGUGGCGAAAGCGGCUCUCUGGUCUGCAACUGACGCUGAGGCUCGAAAGCAUGGGUAGCGAACAGGAUUAGAUACCCUGGUAGUCCAUGCCGUAACGAUGAGUGCUAAGUGU